UCGGGAAUAUUGCGCAAUGGAGGAAACUCUGACGCAGUGACGCCGCGUAUAGGAAGAAGUUUUUCGGAAUGUAAACUAUUGUCGUUAGGGAAGAGAAAGGACAGUACCUAAGGAGGGAGCUCCGGCUAACUACGUGCCAGCAGCCGCGGUAAUACGUAGGGAGCGAGCGUUAUCCGGAAUUAUUGGGUGUAAAGGGUGCGUAGACGGGAGAGCAAGUUAGUUGUGAAAUCCCUCGGCUUAACUGAGGAACUGCAACUAAACUACCCUUCUUGAGUGCAGGAGAGGUAAGUGGAAUUCCUAGUGUAGCGGUGAAAUGCGUAGAUAUUAGGAGGAACACCAGUGGCGAAGGCGACUUACUGGACUGUAACUGACGUUGAGGCACGAAAGUGUGGGGAGCAACAGGAUUAGAUACC
rnacentral:rRNA from 1 species